rnacentral:lncRNA from 1 species
AUAAUCUAAUGCAGAAUUCCGUUGUUUCCCGCCAAUCGUUCAUUUUGGUACAGUUUGUCCCUUCAGCUGCUGUCAUACACGUGGGUCUGGAAAGAUAAUUAUCUUCCUCAAUAGUGCGCUGCAAAAUCCUAUUAGUUGAAAAUCCGAAAUUAGUAUGAAAUCCUGGAAUUGAAAGCAUACAACAUUUUCACAUACUAUAAAACGUCAUUUUUUUUCGCAUACCCAAAAUGUCGACUAUUUAAAACGCAAAGAUAAGUAUUUGGACAAAGCCACUGUCAAACUAAUUGCCUCGUGAAACACUGUAGCCACAGACAUUCCAAUGUAGUGACAGUGCAUUGAAUUUGCAUAUUUUAACGAGCCAGCGGCUAUUGUCCUACCUCCACCGCAGCAAAUGGGCUACGUACUACCAACACAACAGCAGCAGGCCCUAAUCAAUGCUGCUAAGGGGUGGCAUUUUCAUCUCACUCGGCAACUUUCACGGGUUCGUGACUCGUCGUGGGGGAUAAAAGUCAGAACUUUUUUUAAUUGAAUCGCCUUUGAGGACUGUUAACCAUCCAGAAAGCAGGAAUGGCUGUUGGACUCGGUAGGAGCGAGCCAAAGCGUCAGUGACUGCCUUGUCACACAUCCCACUCUGAAGAAGGGAUAUGCAAAAUCUCAACACCGGACAGUUCUCUCAGGAAAUUCCUCAUUUUGCCAAGGGUCACCUGUUCUCCGGGCUGGUUUGUACAGCUGGAAAAGCGUAUAUUUUCACUUCUGUCCGGAGGAGUAUGACUGGCUGUGUAUGUUCCUGAUAAAGACCAUCCCUAUCCUCCACCUUUAAAUAGUCUGUGAUCUGAAGCUCAGUGCCAGAAAGGGAGAGCUGGGACAAUGAGCAUCACUAUGGCAUCUGAGGACAUAGAAGCUGCUGUGGGUCGUGGGACAGUGCUGGAGUCUGCCUUGUCAGCUGAGACCAGAAAUAACCAUGUCACUUCAGACUGCAGCAUGUCGUGGAGUCAAAGCAAAGCACGCCCACAUUCUCACCAGCCAGAAGUUAGCAACCAGGGCAGCAGAGGCUGCUGCUCACCCCUCCCUCUGUAUCUGAAGUUAUCUUAUGACUGCGGGCAGGGGAUGUUUUUGGAUGCAGGAUGCAAAUGCUGGGAUUCCUCUAACCCUGAACAUGCUAGUGCCGUAGACCAGCUCAGCGCCACGUCUCUGGGGGAGCGGGGGAUGGGAG